rnacentral:tRNA from 1 species
UUCAUUCUGGCCGAGUGGUCUGGGGCGCUGCGUUCAAGUCGCAGUUCUCUUCGGAAGGCGCAGGUUCGAAAACUACGGAUGACA